CACCGGUACCGAACCGGGUCCUUUUAACGAGCCUUGACACCAGACGCCCAGGAGGGAGGACAGGGUGAACCAGGACCGUCCAGAGCAGCUGCUGCUACCCAGGCUCGAGACUCGUUAGUCGGGAGUACACAUCCGUCUGCCGCUGGAGGAGACCGUCGAUGAGCCGGGUCACAGUGGAGCUGUAGCAGAGAGAGGACCACAGCCAGUAAACACUGGUAGAGGACAUCCUGUCGUUGGCAGUGAGGACAGUGGAGCCGGGAGAAACUUACAGGACCCCACAGCGGUGAAAGGCAGCCUGGAAACGGAGAGAAAACUCACCACCGAGGGCCCAGAAACCAGACCCCGCUGCGGACAUAUCAGCUCCGUUCCGUUGUUUCUCCAUCCUCUUCGACUCCGGCAGAGGCCACGGUGUCUCCAAGUGCAGCUACAGAAUCGUGACUCCAUUCCUUACCAACAAGGGAGAAGGACUUCCUGACCAUGACGGUGCGGUAGGAGAGGGUUUCCCGAAGGUAAUCGGCGAGCUGUCCACUCAGCACGGCCAUCACAGCGCAGCCCAGGUUGGCAGCAGGGUGAGGAGGGUGUAGAAGGUCCAGUUGUAGGAGAAGUGAGCCACGACGAUGGCCCACAGCGGUCUGGACGUCACUAUGGCUCGCCAGGGGAUGUUGCCUGCUGAGGUGGACAGCUGGGACACACAGGAAGUAGAAAAGAGAGACUAUAUUGAACAGGAAGUUCCAAACUAAUGCAUCUGCAAUUAUUUUAUGCCCAAUUAUUAGUCAUUUUAAUUUCAACUUUGUUCAGAUGUGUGAUUUGCAUUGCAAAUGUACAAAAAAUAAAUCCUGUUCUACCAAUAGCAUGUGUCUUAACUGAUCCGAAUAAAUGGCAAUAUACCUUA